rnacentral:rRNA from 1 species
GAAACGUGGAUUAAUACCUUAUAGUAUUGUGACCUCGCAUGAGGAUUCAAUUAAAGUUUCGGCGGUGAUAGAUGAGUAUGCGUCCCAUUAGUUAGUUGGUAAGGUAACGGCUUACCAAGGCAGCGAUGGGUAGGGGUCCUGAGAGGGAGGUCCCCCACACUGGUACUGAGACACGGACCAGACUCCUACGGGAGGCAGCAGUGAGGAAUAUUGGUCAAUGGGCGCAAGCCUGAACCAGCCAUGCCGCGUGCAGGAAGAAGGCUCUAUGGGUCGUAAACUGCUUUUAUACAGGAAGAAACACCUCUACGUGUAGAGGUUUGACGGUACUGUAUGAAUAAGCACCGGCUAACUCCGUGCCAGCAGCCGCGGUAAUACGGAGGGUGCAAGCGUUAUCCGGAAUCAUUGGGUUUAAAGGGUCCGCAGGCGGGCCUGUAAGUCAGAGGUGAAAUCCUACGGCUCAACCGUAGAACUGCCUUUGAUACUGCAGGUCUUGAGUUAUUGUGAAGUGGCUGGAAUAUGUAGUGUAGCGGUGAAAUGCUUAGAGAUUACAUAGAACACCGAUUGCGAAGGCAGGUCACUACAAUCGACUGACGCUGA